ACCUCUUACCAUUCCGAACAGAGUAGUUAAGCCCGUUUGCGCCGAUGGUACUACACCGUGGGAGAGUAGGUCGCCGCCUUCU
rnacentral:rRNA from 1 species